rnacentral:rRNA from 1 species
GACGGGGGAUGCAAGCGUUAUCCGGAAUCACUGGGCGUAAACCGUCUGUAGGUGGUGAUGCAAGUCACUGGUGCAAAACUCUGGCUCAACCGGAGGAAAGCCAGUGAAACUGGAUGACUAGAGUGUGGGAGAGGUAGAAGGAAUUCCCUGAGUAGCGGUGAAAUGCGUCGAUACAGGGAAGAACACCGGAGGCGAAAGCGUUCUACUGGAACACAACUGACACUGAGAGGCGAAAGCUAGGGGAGCGUAUGGG